GUGCUCGUUUCGGCAGCACAUAUACAAAAUUGGAACAAUACAGAGAAGAUUAGCAUGGACCCUGAGCAAGGAUGACAUGCAAAUUCGUGAAGUGUUCCAUAUUUUU
rnacentral:snRNA from 1 species